UACAACUGCUUAAGAUGGCAACUUGCAACUGUUUUAUAGAAUCCUUCUGCUGGCCCAUUACUUGCUGGUAAAUCAAGCUUUAAGUUACUGGUUUCCUUUGCCAAGGUCAAUAGUGUCACUACCCCACUUAUGAAGAAAUGACUUAUGAAGAAAAAUGACUUAUGAAGAAAAAUAUGAAACCAAAUGAAAGAUAUUGACUUGAUCAUCAGUUCUUCAGGAAAACGUUCUUUCCUUAACUAGGCUACAACUAAGUCUAUUUUCCUUACCCACUGCUCCAGAAUCCAGGAUAGUGACUGGCACAGAGUUGACAGCUAUUAAACAUUUUUUAAAAAUGAACAAAUAAACAAGAGCCCUUGAGUAAUAGGAGUAGAAGCUGAUAUAAAAUGUUUGAACUUAAAGUGCUCUUCUUGCUGCUCAGCACAAUGGACGACUGCUGCUCUGAUGUGCUUGCCAGGAGCUGUGGCCCUGAGGUGCAGCAGAGGAGUGUGGUUGAUUGCCUGCAGGUGUCUGACUGCAGGAUGUCUUCACCACUCAUUGAAAAUCAAGGCACGUAUCACAGUUGAGCAAACCAGCUGUAAGUCCCCUUGUCACCUCAGUCUAUUUUUAGAUCUACCAUGGUAAGAAAUAAAAGCAAAAUAAAAAUCUGCUUUUUAAAUAUAUGUGUAAGUCAAGAAAAUGGGGUGGGGAAAAAGUGAAACAAAUGUGUUUUGAGUAAUGUUGGUAAGGAAUUCAGACACUGUGGGCUGGAAGUUACCUCUUGCAGAUACUGUCUACAAAAUGCUGGGUUAAUCAUAUAAAUGGCUUGGGUCUCAUUUUUUUAAGCGAAUAAUGAAUUACACAAUCUCUAAUGUCUCUUUCAUUUUAUGAGUCUUAUAAUAUCUGGUUUAAUCUGUAGAUUUAUUAAUCAAUCUUUAAUGUAAUUCAUUCAUGCCUAGAAAAUGUUAUCAUCUUCUCUUAAUAGCUCUACUCUUAAAGGAAAAGAAAACAGUCUCUCAAACUUUAAUUUCAACAUUAUUUUACUGGUAAUAAUUCCAAUUAGCAAGCAUGACUUGUUCAUUUGUUUAAUUUUUAUUAUAUGGAACAUUUAUCUUCAAAUUCUUAACUCUGAAAAGAAAGAGUUUUACAAUUCAUUGUGAUGCUGGAGGUUGAAUGAGAAGAAUUGAAAUUUCAAAAUCUGAAGUCACCUUUUUAAUUUUUGAUACAGGCUGAACAUCCCUAAUCUGACAACUUGAAACCUGGAAUUCUCCAAAAUCCCCAGUUUUUUGAAUGCCAACAUGAUGCCACAAGUGGGAAAUUUUACACCUGUGAAUUUUGUGAUGGGGCACAGUCAAAACAGGGUCAAAAUUUGGUUUCAUGCACUAAAUCAUUUAAAUAUUGUAUAAGAUUACCUUCAGGUUAUGUGUAUAAAGUGUAUAUGAACAACAUAAGUGAAUUUUGUCUUUAGAUUUAGGUCCUGUCCUCAAUAUGUCUCAUUAUAUAUAUGGAAAUGUUCUAAAAUUUAAAAAAAUCUGAAACAGUUCUGGCUCCAUGCAUUUCAGACGAGGGGUACUCAACCUACAUAUGAUCCCCUUAGCAUGUAAAUCAUCACAGUGAAGUCUAUCACUAAAACAAUUGAAGUAAAAUCAAUUAAUCCUAAUAUCCAUUAUAACAUAUGUAGAAGUGGAAGGGUAGAACAAAGAACACAACAACAUAGAUUUCUUAGACUCAGUAAGAUCAUGGAAAACAAGCAGCCUCAAGAACAAGGAGAAAGGCAUGAGUACCAAUGAAGAGUAUACUUGGUUCAGAUGCCAUCAAGACUACAGCCAGAAUUCUUCUCUCUCAUUGAUUUCUGACCCAUUUGUCCUCCCAAAGUCUUUCGAGAUAGGAUAACCUCUGUCUGGAGACACUGUCAGUCAAGUAAAAAGUAAAACCGCGUCCCUACCUAAGUCUAGGUUUCCAUCAAAUUCCUGGCCCUGAGGCAGAAUGAUAAGGCAGAAAGGAUGCAAAAAUUUGAAUUAGAAAGUCCUAAAUUUAAAUUACAGUUCUUCUGGUGUUUGUCAGACAACUAAUUUUAGGCAACUUUCUCCAAAGAGCAUUUAUGAAUUGGAGUAAUUCUCAUUACAAAAGAUUACUGAGUAAACACAUAAUGUAUUAUUGUAGGUACAAUAUCUGGGAUUUAGUAUUUUCUUAUUAUUUUUAGUUUUUUCUUUCUCUAUCAAUUCCAUCCUUGAACAAAUAGUUAUGUAGAUAGAUAAUGAUGACAGAGAGAUAGAGAGAUAAAGAUACAUAGGUAGCCAGAUAGAUAUAUAGCCAGCUAGCUAGCUAGCUAGAUCAUAGAUAGAUAGAUAAUCUUGCUCUGAAGCCCAGCAGAAGUCAAAGGAAGAAGUAUUUAUUUCUUGCAUCUAUUUUAUUUCAUUAAAAACGUUUUUCUGUUUUCAGCUAUAGGACUGCACACAUAAGAUACAAAUUACAUAAACCACAUUUUUUUUUUUUUCCUCCAUGGGUCCUCCAAGUAGUUUUCAUUAAAAUUAAAGUUGGGUUACAAAUUACUGUUGAUGAAUUAGAUAAAAAAUGCUGGCUUUGGGGAUAAUUAGGGGAGUUGCAAUGUUACUUAAAUGUAACUGAAACAUGCAAAGCAAUCAAAGAAUAAUAUUAAAAGUUUCUGAGGCAGAUAAUAACCACAUGGCUCUGACUGAGGGUAAUUUCCAUAGAACUGGAAGCUGAAAAGCCAGAAAAUCAGUUGCUUUUCAGCAAUGUCUGGUACUGACAGUCCUCAUUCCCCUUCACAUUAAUGGUGUUAAACCAUUUACAGGAAAGGCAGGCAUCCAUCAUUCUUGAGGGAUCAGAGCCAUUACACAAAACAAUGUUGAGAAAGGCCAUUACAAUGCAGUGUUAAAGAGGGCAGAGGCUGAACACUUUACCUGGAGAAUAUGAAAAGGCAAGAUUUGCCAGCUAGUAUAUGUUGACUUUCAAAAACUUUCCAGGCUUUCAUUACUUGAGGCUAUUUUAAAUGUGUGAUAUCUGAGCAGAAGUACAAGGAAGCAGAAACCUCUACUUCAUGUAGAGAAGCCUGUGUUCUCAGGGAUGAGUGCCCUUAUUUAGAAAUAGUGAGGCGAACUGCCUCCUUUGUGACACUGUGUUAGCCUUCCUGCCAUUUCAGUUUAAUGUCUCACUAGGCCUGACUGCCUUGAAGCUAAAGCAUUGGAAAGAAGCUAUGACUUGUUUACAGUGUGACGAUGUGAAUGUAUAUGAGUAAGCCGUUUUGGACACUCCAAAGAACUCAAACUUUUCUCUUGACAAGGGAUUUCUGCUUUCCUUUAUCAUUGUUCCUCUGCCUAACGUUCCUGCCUGAUAAUUGAUUUUGGUUUAGAUCUCACAAACUUGGAAAGACUUCUAAGAGUGGGAAUCGCAAAUCAGACCCAGAAAGAUUUUGGUUCAUGGACUAUGGCAGCAGAAAGGAUGUUUCUUUUUCUUACAGUGUCUCCACUUUACUGGUGUGAAUUAAUGACAAAUUUGGGGUGAAAUCUAAAUUUUAUAUCAGUGUAAAUGUUAUUUAUGUUAUGUCACAGUAGAGACAGUGUGGUCUGUUGCUUGCCUAUGUUGCCAACUAAAAAUAAUUAAUCUCUGGCUUUUUGUUUCUUCAAUAUCCAUUAAGGAUAAUAAUUUCUGAAUCAUCUGUUUAAGUGAAGAUGAAAUGAGACCUCAACAAGACAUAUUUUUAGAAACAUGAUUCAAAUGAUACCCUAGAAAUCUGCAAGUGCCCUAUAAACCAACCUAUUUCUAGCCUCUCAGAUAUUUUGCCAAGAAUGAAAACAGUGUUUUGGAAAUCUAUGUCACCUAGUAAGACCCUAUUCUUUCUGACCAAUCCCCAAUACUCGCAAGUCUUCCAUUAUUAUCUGUAUCAAUUAUCCAAAUUAAUUUCUUUAUGUCUUUUUUUCUCCCAUUUAUAUCAAUCAUCAUAAAACUUGAGCAUCUAAGAUUUAUUUUCAGUCCUGGAUUGUAGUCCUUAUAAACUUAUAAAGCUCAGUGGGGCAACAUCCAUCCCAUGCUCUUUUCUAUUAUCUCUGCAUCCCUUAUUAAAAUUUCUGCUUUAUUUUUCUCUAAAACAAAUAUUGCCAAAUAAUUAGAUUUUUUUUCUUUUUGAGACAGAGUCUCACUCUGUGCCAAGGCCGGAGUGCAGUAGUGUGAGCUCAGGUCACUGCAAACUCCAGCUCCCAGGUUCAAGCAAUUCUCCUGCCUCAGCCUCCAGAGUAGCUGGGACUCUAGAUGUAAGCCACCACUCGAGGCUAAUUUUUGUGUUUUGGGUAGAGACAGGGUUUCACUAUGUUGGCCUGGCUGGUCUCAAACUCUUGAAUUCAGGUGAUCCACUCCCCUUGGCCUCCCAAAGUACUGGGAUUUCAAGACUGAGCCACCACUCCCAGCCAUGAUUUGAUUUUUAUUUGUUUUUCGUUUUCCCCACUAAAAUGUUAUCUCCACAAAAAGAGGAAGUUUUGGCUGUCUUAUUCACUACAGUUUCCCAACAAUAUAGAACAUUGCCUGGCAUA